AACGAACGCUGGCGGCAGGCCUAACACAUGCAAGUCGAACGCAUCGCAAGAUGAGUGGCGCACGGGUGAGUAACACGUGGGAAUGUAUCCUUUGGUUCGGAAUAACGUUUGGAAACGGACGCUAAUACCGGAUGAGCCCUUAGGGGGAAAGAUUUAUCGCCGAAGGAGCAGCCCGCGUCUGAUUAGGUAGUUGGUGGGGUAAAGGCCUACCAAGCCGACGAUCAGUAGCUGGUCUGAGAGGAUGAUCAGCCACACUGGGACUGAGACACGGCCCAGACUCCUACGGGAGGCAGCAGUGGGGAAUCUUGCGCAAUGGGCGAAAGCCUGACGCAGCCAUGCCGCGUGAAUGAUGAAGGUCUUAGGAUUGUAAAAUUCUUUCACCGGGGACGAUAAUGACGGUACCCGGAGAAGAAGCCCCGGCUAACUUCGUGCCAGCAGCCGCCGUAACAC
rnacentral:rRNA from 1 species